GGCGCGGUAGCUCAGGCGGUUAGAGCGCAGGAUUCAUAACCCUGAGGUCGGGAGUUCAACUCUCCCCCGCGCUA
rnacentral:tRNA from 1 species